rnacentral:rRNA from 1 species
GCCAGCGGCGAUAGCACGUUGAAUACACCAGUUCCCCAUGGAUCGCCAAAGUUAAGCUACGUUGCUCAUGGUAGGUAUCCGGAUGAGUGACCAUUACCCAAAUCGUGUGGUUUCCUGGUC